UCAAUUUCAUUAUCUCAGAUAACCAAUCGUACAAGAGCAUUCGUUUGACCAAUGACACCGGCGGAUUUUCUAGACUAGACCAAUCGUGUAUAGACUAGCCCCUGCGGUUACCUGUCCGAAACCCCGGACGUCGCGUCGUUCGUCUGCCAGCCGUCUGAUGUGACAGACACACCUCGCAACUGCCAUUACAAAAGGGCAUCACGGCCGCUGUGAAUCCUUUGUACUUCAAGCCGUGUCUAACCCAAGACAACAGGAUCUUAUUGGUGCCAUCAAGACGGACCAACUGCAGCUGCAAUGUUCAUGUUGGGACUUAUCCCGGUGAGAGGUUGUCCGAUGCCAUCUCCACGGCUAGCUGUACGUUGACGUCCAGAAGAUCGGUGCUCGUGUGAAAGCCCUGUCGGAGGACCCGAAACUAAGUUAAGUUCUUGUGUGUUUUAUGGGGUGUGAAACGGAAACAUAUUGUAGAGAUGGUCUGGGACUAACUUGUCGGCAUGAUAGGAAGUAAACAAUUUGUGCGGUCUCUUAUGCCGGUGUCUCUGACAUUGGUCUGUGGUAAAGUGCUCGAUCACAUCGUGCACAGCCACAUGAUGAAACAUCUAGACACUCAUGGCAUUCUGUCCCCAGCGCAACACGGCUUCAGGAAGGGUCUGUCCUGCGAGAGCCAGCUGGUGCUUACCCUCCAAGACCUGUCCAAAAACAUGGACCAGAACAAACAGGUCGAUGCCGCGGAGGUUGACUUUAGCAAC